rnacentral:misc_RNA from 1 species
UCAAGAUAUGAAAAGACUCAAAUAGAAAAUUUUAAAUUAUUUCAAUUUAAAAAUAUUAAAAUUAAAAUAAAAAAAAGAAGUUAAAAUCAAAUGAUAAGAUUAAGUCAAUGUUUAAAAGUUAUUACUUAUAUUACUUUUAAAAGUUAUUACUUAUAUUACUUAUAUUACUUAAUAUAAUUAUUACCUAAGAUAUUUAUGAAGAUACAGAAUAUGUAUGAUAUUUUCAACCAUUUAUUAUUACAAUAAUUUAGUUUAGAUCCAUAGAACAGGUAAAAUACACAAAAAAAAGUACUUGAUUUUGAUAUGUAUUCUAUCAUCCACCAAUAACUCAACCUGAUAAAAAAAAGCCCUCGUUAUUUUAGUUAAUUUAUUUGGAAUCAGUAUUCGGAAUCAUUAAUUGAAUUAGUUCAGAACUAGUUCGUUGUGAAACUGAGUGAGUUGCUUAUAUUCCUUCCAAUAAAACAACUUAUGUUUGCGGUAACCUCUAUGAUAUCCGUCAAUUUGUUACUCGUCACUUCAGUUCUUUGCGAACUGCAAUAAAAAAAAUGUCUUUUUUGUUUUCAUUUCGGAAUGGGAAUGGAUUGAGAACAGAACUAUCUAGUUGCAACUCUUCAAUUCCAUAAGAAAUCGCACGAAAAGCCAUUACAUUCUUAAAGCUAACAGCUAACAGCUAACACCGCCCCACACCACAAGAUAAUUAUUAUUGAACGUUCAAAUAGCAAUAGGAAUUUGAAUGAUAUUUUAAAAAGUGUCCUCAAGAUAUUGCAUUGAAUUGCCUCCUUCAAUCUCGACGAUUGAAGAUGGAU